UGCGGUGAUGAUAGCGCCGGGGCGCACCUCUUCCCAUUCCGAACAGAGAAGUUAAGCCCGGCCGCGCUGAUGGUACUGCCCCCACGGGUGGGAGAGUAAGUCGUCGCCCAAU
rnacentral:rRNA from 4 species